rnacentral:misc_RNA from 1 species
AUCCAUAAAGCGCACACACACACACUCCUUAGCUUCACCACAGAAACAAGAAAAAAGAGAAGAAUUUUCUAUCUGUUGGCGCUUUAUUUCAUUUUCUUUGCUUUCAGUUUCUACUCCUAAUGGCUGACUUGGAUCACUCCUCUAGUGAUGAUGUCUCUGUUGAUUCUAGAGGUAUUUAUUCUGAAAUUCAUGGGUCCUUUGUUUUUGCAGUUUUCAAAUCUAUAAAGGCCGAC